CGGGGCUCACCUUCACCCCUCCAAGCCACAGCUGCAAACCGGGGAGCUGCACAGUUGAACACUCUGCUAGAUACCGCCGGAGCGGAGCCCCAGUGCCAGAACAGUUUUUGGGAGAUCAACACUGACAACAGGAGACACGUCCAUGCGCUGGGCAUUGGCUGAAGGACCUGCCUCAGGUGCACACGCCAUAAGUGCACCUGGAGGGCACAUUCACAGCCGCCGACACACGGACUUCCUACACCACGUAACUAUGGCUGUCCAAUGCAGAGAUUAAGUGCAUUAAAUGAACACUGUGGCCGACCAUUUAGCCUAUGUUAAUCCUCCCUAUGUUGCCCUUCUAUAACUGGUGCCGCAAGGAGGGUUCUCACACCGUGACCCCUACCGAUGUACGGCAUCGUAAGCUACUAAACAUAUGACAGUCACCCUCACUAAUUUUCUGAUCCUUAAAGCGAUGGUAUUUUAUGUUAAACUAAGAAACAAGCACGUUCGCAUUGUGGCCAAUCUGGUCAACUAAUAUGCAACUAGCAUGUAAAUAUAUCCUGACCUAAGCAGCAUGUAGCCAGGGC